rnacentral:rRNA from 1 species
AUACGUAGGGUGCAAGCGUUAAUCGGAAUUACUGGGCGUAAAGCGUGCGCAGGCGGUUGUGCAAGACAGAUGUGAAAUCCCCGGGCUCAACCUGGGAAUUGCAUUUGUGACUGCACGGCUAGAGUGUGUCAGAGGGGGGUAGAAUUCCACGUGUAGCAGUGAAAUGCGUAGAGAUGUGGAGGAAUACCGAUGGCGAAGGCAGCCCCCUGGGAUAACACUGACGCUCAUGCACGAAAGCGUGGGGAGCAAACAGGAUUAGAUACCCUGGUAGUCCACGCCCUAAACGAUGUCUACUAGUUGUCGGGUCUUAAUUGACUUGGUAACGCAGCUAACGCGUGAAGUAGACCGCCUGGGGAGUACGGUCGCAAGAUUAAA